rnacentral:rRNA from 1 species
CCUACGGGUGGCUGCAGUGAGGAAUAUUGGUCAAUGGACGCAAGCCUGAACCAGCCAUGCAGCGUGCAGGAUGACGGCCCUAUGAGUUGUAAACUGCUUUUGUACGAGGGUAAACCCCGAUACGUGUACCGGGUUGAAAGUAUCGUACGAAUAAGGAUCGGCUAACUCCGUGCCAGCAGCCGCGGUAAUACGGAGGAUCCGAGCGUUAUCCGGAUUUAUUGGGUUUAAAGGGUGCGUAGGCGGGUUGUUAAGUUAGAUGUGAAAUGUCGGGGCUCAACCCCGAAACUGCCACUAAUACUGUUGGACUUGAGAAUAGUUGCGGUAGGCGGAAUGUAUGGUGUAGCGGUGAAAUGCUUAGAUAUCAUACAGAACACCGAUUGCGAAGGCAGCUUACCAAACUAUAACUGACGUUGAGGCACGAAAGCGUGGGUAGCAAACAGGAUUAGAUACCCCUGUAGUC